UGGUAUGAAAGGUUUGACGAGAUAUUAACUGUUUCAUAAAAAUUUAUAGUAGAAUUUUAUUUUUUAGUCAAAAAGCUAAAAUUUAUUUAAAAGACGAGAAGACCCUAUAAAUCUUUAUAUUUAGGUUAUUAUAAUUGUAUAGAUUUUUUUUGUUAUAAUAAUUAAUAAUAUUUUAUUGGGGUGAUAUUAAAAUUUAAUGAACUUUUAAUUAUUAAAAACAUUAAUUUAUGAAUAAUUGAUCCAUUAUUAGUGAUUAAAAAAAUAAGUUACCUUAGGGAUAACAGCG
rnacentral:rRNA from 1 species